rnacentral:piRNA from 1 species
UCUUGGCUGGUAUCGGUGCUACAAGUAAUCC